UGCAAUCUACCUUUCACAAAGGGAUAGCCCAGAGAAAUUUGGAUUAAUACCUUAUAGUAUAAUUGAAUGGCAUCAUUUAAUUAUUAAAGAUUUAUCGGUGAAAGAUGAGCAUGCGUCCCAUUAGCUAGUUGGUAUGGUAACGGCAUACCAAGGCUACGAUGGGUAGGGGUCCUGAGAGGGAGAUCCCCCACACUGGUACUGAGACACGGACCAGACUCCUACGGGAGGCAGCAGUGAGGAAUAUUGGACAAUGGGCGCAAGCCUGAUCCAGCCAUGCCGCGUGCAGGAUGACGGUCCUAUGGAUUGUAAACUGCUUUUAUACAGGAAGAAACACCUCUACGUGUAGAGACUUGACGGUACUGUAAGAAUAAGGAUCGGCUAACUCCGUGCCAGCAGCCGCGGUAAUACGGAGGAUCCAAGCGUUAUCCGGAAUCAUUGGGUUUAAAGGGUCCGUAGGCGGUCAGAUAAGUCAGUGGUGAAAGCCCAUCGCUCAACGGUGGAACGGCCAUUGAUACUGUCUGACUUGAAUUAUUAGGAAGUAACUAGAAUAUGUAGUGUAGCGGUGAAAUGCUUAGAGAUUACAUGGAAUACCAAUUGCGAAGGCAGGUUACUACUAAUUGAUUGACGCUGAUGGACGAAAGCGUGGGUAGCGAACAGGAUUAGAUACCCUGGUAGUCCACGCCGUAAACGAUGGAUACUAGCUGUUGGGAGCAAUCUCAGUGGCUAAGCGAAAGUGAUAAGUAUCCCACCUGGGGAGUACGAACGCAAGUUUGAAACUCAAAGGAAUUGACGGGGGCCCGCACAAGCGGUGGAGCAUGUGGUUUAAUUCGAUGAUACGCGAGGAACCUUACCAAGGCUUAAAUGUAGUUUGACCGGUUUGGAAACAGAUCUUUCGCAAGACAAAUUACAAGGUGCUGCAUGGUUGUCGUCAGCUCGUGCCGUGAGGUGUCAGGUUAAGUCCUAUAACGAGCGCAACCCCUGUUGUUAGUUGCCAGCGAGUCAUGUCGGGAACUCUAACGAGACUGCCAGUGCAAACUGUGAGGAAGGUGGGGAUGACGUCAAAUCAUCACGGCCCUUACGCCUUGGGCUACACACGUGCUACAAUGGCCGGUACAGAGAGCAGCCACUGGGUGACCAGGAGCGAAUCUACAAAACCGUUCACAGUUCGGAUCGGAGUCUGCAACUCGAC
rnacentral:rRNA from 1 species